rfam:Triticum aestivum genome assembly, contig: Triticum_aestivum_CS42_TGACv1_scaffold_020411_1AS
AUUAUAUUACCUGCGUCCCAAUUUAGUUGUUUUAAAUUUGUCUAGAUGCGGAUGUAUCUAGACAUGUUUUAGUGUUAGAUACAUCCAUAUCUAGACAAGUCUAAGACAACUAAUUCGGGGCGGAGGGAGUAUCAU